rnacentral:rRNA from 1 species
UACGAAGGGGGCUAGCGUUGUUCGGAAUUACUGGGCGUAAAGCGCACGUAGGCGGAUUGUUAAGUUAGGGGUGAAAUCCCAGGGCUCAACCCUGGAACUGCCUUUAAUACUGGCAAUCUCGAGUCCGAGAGAGGUGAGUGGAAUUCCGAGUGUAGAGGUGAAAUUCGUAGAUAUUCGCAAGAACACCAGUGGCGAAGGCGGCUCACUGGCCCGAUACUGACGCUGAGGCACGAAAGCGUGGGGAGCAACAGGA